AUGUUUUCCUAUGAUUUAGAUUUUCCAAAAAGAACAAAAUUAUACAGAAUAAAAAUUCAGGUGUCAGAAAGACUCAAAAGGCUGUUUUUCAUUUUGUUCAAGUCUUGUUUCCAGGCAUUGUGUCAUAGAGUUGUUGGCAUUGUUGUUUUCCAAAUGUCCGAUGUGUGCUAUGACAUCAGUAACAAAUGCUUCAACAUCAUCAGCUCCAAUUUGAAGAUCUUGUUGCAUUGUGUCAAAAGAAAUUUCUUUAUUUUCCACUGCCAUUCCCAUAAAAUAAGCAGUCUCAUUUUUGCCAUAUUCUGUUCAUGUAGUAGGCCAACUGAAUCAAUGAAGUCUGUAUCAUUCUGAUGAAAUGACAUAUGAUGCUAAUUUAGCACUCACAAAAAAUGGUUAAAAGAUCAUGCAUGAGCUCACCUUUCAAAAAUUUGACUGGUUUUAAAGUAAGAAGAUGAUCAGAAAGGAAUGCAUUUGGAUCUUAAAUGCUUGCACAAUAUACCUGUGGGCAUCAACUCGAGCCUGGGAAGCACUGUCCUCCAUGUAACUGCCUAACAAUUCCACCAUAACUUUUGAUGCGGCAUCACUUUUCUUACAAGCCACAAGUGCCUCGUGAUGUAGUCUUAAAAGAGUGUGUUUUGUGUUUUUCUUUUAAGUGGUGAGGUUCCAGUCAGAAAUCCAUUUUCUAACUUGAUCCAGCUCAGUUGGAAUAUACUGGAUGGCCCCGCAAGAGGCUGCAACUAUAGUGAGGCUGUAUAUCUUACAGGAGUAUUCUUAUCCAUCCCAUGGAAAAGAUUGCUUAGCAACUGUAGUCUCAGAGAUGGACGUUCACCUUCCUGAAAUCUGACCAGUUUCUCACACAGGCUUUGAAUCAGAGCUUCCUGCUUAUCUGGUUCCAGGAUCAACAGGGGGAUACUGCGCUGUUCAUCACAAUUUCAAGGACUUUAUCAUCUUCCUUCAGACAUACAUCACUGGCUUCAAUAAUUUGAGCUAAAUCUACAUGAAGUCCACCUUCAGAGUUCUCUUAUGAAAUUUCAGCUCCUUUAGAUUUCAAAUAAGUGCGAAGCUCAGCAACCUGAUCUUCCUCACUGACGUCGCAACGCAGGAAUGCUCAUGGCGAAGGCCCGCGCACUGUGGACAUUCCGCUGGCUAACCACGAUGACAGCUAAACUUUUUUUCUUCUAUUUUCUCUGGGCAGAUUUAUCUUCUUUUUCUCCUCUAGUUCUUUUUCUUUCCUAUCUAGUUUUCAUUUAUUUUUAUUAAAAGUAUCCAGAGGACUUCCCUGGUGGUCCAGUGGUUGACUUUGUUUUCCAGUGCAGGGGAUGUGGGGUCAAUCCCUGGCCAGGAGCUAAAAAUCUCAGAUACCCAGAGGCCAAAAAACCAAAAUGUAAAACAGAAGCAAUAUUGUAACAAAUUCAAUAAGGACUUUCAAAAUAACCCACAUUGAAAAAAUCCUUUCAGUUCAGUUCAGUUCAGUCACUCAGUCGUGUCCGACUCUUUUCGACCCCAUGAAUCGCAGCAUGCCAGGCCUCCCUGUCCAUCACCAAUUCCCGGAGUUCACUCAGACUCACAUCCAUUGAGUCAGUGAUGCCAUCCAGCCAUCUCAUCCUCUGUUGUCCCCUUCUCCUCCUGCCCCCAAUCCCUCCCAACAUCAGAGUCUUUUCCAAUGAGUCAGCUCUUCACAUGAGGUGGCCAAAGUACUGGAGUUUCAGCUUUAGCAUCAUUCCUUCCAAAGAAAUCCCAGGGCUGAUCUCCUUCAGAAUGGACUGGCUGGAUCUCCUUGCAGUCCAAGGGACUCUCUAGAGUCUUCUCCAACACCAGAGUUCAAAAGCAUCAAUUCUUCGGUGCUCAGCCUUCUUCACAGUCCAACUCUGACAUCCAUACAUGACCACAGGAAAAACCAUAGCCUUGACUAGACGGAUCUUUGUUGGCAAAGUAAUGUCUCUGCUUUUGAAUAUGCUAUCUAGGUUGGUCAUAACUUUCCUUCCAAGGAGUAAGCGUCUUUUCAUUUCCUGGCUGCAGUCACCAUCUGCAGUGACUUUGGAGCCCAGAAAAAUAAAGUCUGACACUGUUUCCA
ensembl:lncRNA